rnacentral:rRNA from 1 species
UACAGGGGGGGGCAAGCGUUGUUCGGAAUUACUGGGCGUAAAGGGCUCGUAGGUGGCCAACUAAGUCGGACGUGAAAUCCCUCGGCUUAACCGGGGAACUGCGUCUGAUACUGGAUGGCUUGAGAUUGGGAGAGGGAUGCGGAAUUCCAGGUGUAGCGGUGAAAUGCGUAGAUAUCUGGAGGAACACCGGUGGCGAAGGCGGCAUCCUGGACCAACACUGACACUGAGGAGCGAAAGCCAGGGGAGCAAACGGG